GCUUAAUAUAAACAGUUCUUAAGCCCAAUGUCUGAUCUUGGAAGCUAAGCAGGAUUGGGCCUGGUUAGUACUUGGAUGGGAGAACAUUUUGGAAGACCAGGAGCUGUAGGCA
rnacentral:rRNA from 1 species